UACGGAGGGUGCAAGCGUUAUCCGGAUUUACUGGGUUUAAAGGGUGUGUAGGCGGGCUUUUAAGUCCGUGGUGAAAUCUCCGGGCUCAACCCGGAAACUGCCAUGGAUACUAUUGGUCUUGAAUAUUGUUGAGGUGGGCGGAACGGGUCAUGUAGCGGUGAAAUGCAUAGAUAUGACCCGGAACACCGAUUGCGAAGGCAGCCCACUAAGCAAUGAUUGACGCUGAGGCACGAAAGCGUGGGGAUCAAACAGG
rnacentral:rRNA from 1 species